rnacentral:rRNA from 1 species
UGAGCAACCUACCGAAAUGUGGGGGAUAGCCGGCCUAACGGCCGAGUAAUACCGCAUACGCUCUCGAUGAGGCAUUUCAUUGAGAGGAAACCUACGGGACAUUUCGAGGGGCUCGCGGCCUAUCAGCUAGUUGGAGAGGUAACGGCUCACCAAGGCAACGACGGGUAGCUGGUCUGAGAGGAUGGCCAGCCACAUUGGGACUGAGAUACGGCCCAGACUCCUACGGGAGCAG